AUGGAAGAGUAUAUAAGGGCGGCUCUGCCUCUGGUGGAACGCGAGUGUCCUGUAGAGGAUCGCCCGACGGACGUGCCGUCUAAAUUCUCACCAGAUAGUUUCUCCGAGGACUCCGGUCCUGUGACCAGAACCAAAAUCAGUCAGAAAUAUAUGGCUGUGGUGAACUGGCACGUGGAAAACGGCACCACGUCAGGAAAACCAUGGAUGCAGGAGAACAGCAAGUCUUACCUCAGCUUCAGCUCGACCAAGAACGCCAGGAGCCAAAUCAGGUCGGCCCUGGACAACUUCACCAAGGUCAUGGGCCUGACCAUAAUGGUUCUGGACUGCCUGGUGGGGGUGCUGGCUCUGCCAGACACUGCCAACGGCCGGACCCACCAAAUCCUACAGAUGAGCGGCUGCCAUCGGGCCUGUGCCGGCAGCGUGUGGGCGGCAUGGUGUCCUUGCCAAUACGGCAGACGAAACACCACCUGGUUGUUUGGACCUGUGACCACGCGAAGGAGCAGUAUCGCGGAGGCUACUGCCCGUGCUGCUCCCUGCUAUGGUUGCGCCAAAUGGACAAAUGAGAUCUUUCCCUUCAGGGGCUGCGUCGAGCAGAUGACCAUCUGGUGGGAGGAGGAAAAGAGGACGGCCACGGUGGUGGACGCCGUCAAGGCCACUCCCAGGGGCGGCAAGGUCCGUGCAGACCAAAUAUGCAAAUCCUCCGCUCAGGUGGAACCGACUCCCGCCGUCGCCGUUGCCGUCAUCACUGGCAACGCCGACAUGGGCAUGGGCGCGGUGGCCGAUGGGAAGCCGACAAACUCCCAACACCAGCAACGGCUCCAGGACCAGAGGUCCACGUUUGAACGUACCCGACGUUUGACGCCUGGCUUUGGCGAACGUUUGCCUAAACGAGAAGCCAAAAGCUUUUUCCGUUGGGUUUCCGAUCCCAUGACUGACGUGACUCUUGAGUUCUUCGUCGGGAAGACCGAGUCAGAGGGAAGGCCCGCCCCUUCCGGUGAUGGAAAGAAUAGAAGGCCGGCGGAAAAGCCCGCUCUUGCGUUCGAGCCCCACGUUCCUUCUGCCUCUGGAAGACUUGGCGGAGGAUAAACUCCCUUAUGACUUUGAAGAGUGGCUUGGUCUUGAGUCGGGUACCCCAAAAUUCAAAGCCAAUCAACAGCAUCAAGACUCUGCUAUAGUCUUGAUGUUACCCGGAUGUAAAUAUGUAGGCCCUGUCAAUGGUCCAGACAAGGAAAAGCCUGUCAGUCAGGUAGAGACCACUGUUCUUGCUGCUCUCAGGGUACAACGAGAUAAUCCGUACCUCAAGUACAACCACAUGGACACCUAGUUCCAAGAGGUACUCAAAGACACCUCUUCUAGAGGUGAUCUCAGCAAGGCUGUUUCCCAGGCCAAAAAAGUGGAUAGUGGAAUCCUUCGGUCUGGUUGAGGAAAGCAACAUGGCCCUGGGUAAAAAGAGACCUCUGCCUGAAGAGAAGACUCUAGAACAGGCUCAUGGUUCUGGUCCUGAAAGUCUUAAAAUACUUUUCGAAAAAAGAAGUUAAACACUGUCAAUGCUAGAGCAGUAUCCUCCUCACACGUAGCCUCCUCAGAUGCACCUUAAAUUUGGGCUCUACUACAAUGUCUGCAGGAGGAGGUGUACCAAUGGGUGAUAAUAACCAAGGUACCAUGGUACUCAGAUGGGCACUGAGGUUCCAAAUGGAUGGGGAACACCAUGUCCACCCGAACCUGGGUCCUGUCCAGCUACAACAAUUACCUCUACCAACAAAUCUCCAGUAUCAGAACAGCCAGAAAUGUCAGUGCCCACUUCAGGUGCAGCACCUCCUGGGAAUACUUGAACAGGUUCCACUGCCACUGCAGCCUCCGAGACUGGCAAAGACUCAUCAACAACCACUGGGGAGUCUGUCCCAAGACUCUCAAAGUCAGAGUCUUUAAUAUACAAGUCAAAGAAGUCAUGACUUGCCAACAACCUCACGCCCAUGGUCCACGUCUUUGCUGAUUCUGAGUAUCAGGUCCCCUACCUUCUGGGCAGUGCAACAGGGGGCUGCCUGCCGGUGUUCCUCCAGAGGCCUUUACACUCUUGCAGUGACGAUGACAACACCGACAGUCCUAUAGAUAGAAGCACCCUUUACUCCCUGGUGUACUUUCCUGGCAAGAUGCUGAAGCCCAGCAACAACUCUGAAUUUGCCUUCCAAUUUGAAGAAGUGGCCCUCUAUUCAAGAUUUGUACCCAGUGAGCUUUUCAACAAACUGGCUAAUCUGCAGGUUGAUCAAUACUUGUGGAAGCUGUCAAUUCAGGAACACCCAUCUUCAAAGUUUCCAAUUGGCAAAACAUACCAAAACAGCCUGAGCAGAGCUGUAUAUAAAACACAGGCUCAGAACACUGCCUAAGAACAAAUUUCAACCAAACUGUCAGCAGCAACAAUCGAUUCUUCUGAAUAACUAUAAUUAUACCUCAAAACCAGGACCAGAUAUAAUAGUCACCCAUCAAGACGGAACUAAUUUUGUUCCUAGGACAUCACCAUGAUUUUUCAAUGAUGAUAAGAUUGUACUAAGGGACACACCCUUACUCUUGUUUCUGAGUUACUUAUUACUUGAUGAGAGUGUAACAACAGCCACCAGCCCUCAGGUUUACAACAAUGCUGACAGAGUGACCACCAACAACCAAAGUGUAUCAACAGCUCUUAGAACAGGUCUCUUUAAUCACUGAGGAACCAUACCCGGUCCUGCCUGGAUGUCAUGAGACAUCUAUCAUCAGGGACCUAUUUGAACCAAAAUUCCGAUACCAAAGAACAUUUCCAUCCCAGUCCUCAUUUGGGUGAAUUUGGACUCAAAAAAACCACCACGCAUGUUGCUUAUUAAGAACUGUUCCUGGAAAUGUGACUGCUUUCACAGAUAGGCAAUCUUCUCAUCACCCAGUAUGCAACCAUUUCAGUGCCAAUGGAGAUGACCUAGAGACUCAGGGAAGAAAUUUCUAAGAGGUAGAAUCCAGAGAUGCAGGACACUAACAACUACAAGAGCCCAACCUACGUGGAUUUUGUCCCCUCAGAUCAGGGAGUGUACAGAAGUACCCGAACUACCUAACCAAGCCUUGUAAUUAUGUUUUCAAUAAACCGUUGUAUUCGUUUCA
rnacentral:lncRNA from 1 species